AUUGAACGCUGGCGGCAGGCCUAACACAUGCACGUCGAACGAGUGGCGGACGGGUGAGUAAUGUCUGGGAAACUGCCUGAUGGAGGGGGAUAACUACUGGAAACGGUAGCUAAUACCGCAUACCCUCAGCUGUGCCCAGAGGGGAUUAGCUAGUGGGGGGGGUAACGGCUCACCAAGGCGACGAUCCCUAGCUGGUCUGAGAGGAUGACCGGCCACACUGGGACUGAGACACGGUCCAGACUCCUACGGGAGGCAGCAGUGGGGAAUAUUGCAGAAUGGAUGCAAGUCUGAUGCAGCAAUGCCGCGUGAAUGAAGAAGGGCUGCGGAUUGUAAAGUACUUUCAGCGGGGAGGCGGUAGCCGCGGAGGAAGCACCGGCUAACUCCGUGCCAGCAGCCGCGGUAAUAC
rnacentral:rRNA from 1 species